CCUCUAGUGUGACCUCUGCAAUAACCAGCAGCACACAGACAUCAGAAUGUGUGUGUUCAGUGUCUGUGGUGUUUGUGCUGGUCUGGUGUCUUCAGCUGAUGGUUCUGUUGGGUCUGUUAGGAGGUUUUCACAUCUACAUGAGACACACGUCAGGAAAGAAGCAGGAAGAUCAGAAAGUGAGGAUGAGAAGAUUUAGAGACGGACCUGAACACACAGCAG